GGGGAUUUGGCUUAGUGGUAGAGCGCUUGCCUAGGAAGCGCAAGGUCCUGGGUUCAAUCCCCAGCCCCG
rfam:Rattus norvegicus chromosome 12, whole genome shotgun sequence.